CCUACGGGUGGCAGCAGUGGGGAAUAUUGGGCAAUGGGCGCAAGCCUGACCCAGCAACGCCGCGUGAAGGAAGAAGGCUUUCGGGUUGUAAACUUCUUUUCUGCGGGACGAAGAAAGUGACGGUACCUCAGGAAUGAGCCACGGCUAACUACGUGCCAGCAGCCGCGGUAAGACGGAGGGGGCAAGCGUUCUGCGGAUUUCGUGGGUGUAAAGGGCGUGUAGGCGGGAAAGCAAGUCAGAUGUGAAAACUCAGGGCUCAACCCUGCGCCUGCCUUUGAAACUGGUUUUCUUGAGUGCUGGAGAGGCAUGCGGAAUUCCUUGUGUAGCGGUGAAAUGCAUAGAUAUACGGAGGAACACCAGUUGCGAAGGCGGAUUGCUGGACAGUAACUGACGCUGAGGCGCGAAAGCGUGGGGAGCAAACAGGAUUAGAUACCCUUGUAGUC
rnacentral:rRNA from 1 species